rnacentral:rRNA from 1 species
AGAACGAACGCUGGCGGCAGGCUUAACACAUGCAAGUCGAACGCCCCGCAAGGGGAGUGGCAGACGGGUGAGUAACGCGUGGGAACGUGCCCUUCGCUUCGGGAUAGCCUCGGGAAACUGGGAGUAAUACCGAAUACGCCGUAUUGGGAAAGAUUUAUCGGCGAAGGAUCGGCCCGCGUUGGAUUAGCUAGUUGGCGGUGUAAUGGACCACCAAGGCGACGAUCCAUAGCUGGUCUGAGAGGAUGAUCAGCCACACUGGGACUGAGACACGGCCCAGACUCCUACGGGAGGCAGCAGUGGGGAAUCUUGGACAAUGGGCGCAAGCCUGAUCCAGCCAUGCCGCGUGAGUGAAGAAGGCCUUAGGGUUGUAAAACUCUUUCGCCGGUGAAGAUAAUGACGGUAGCCGGAGAAGAAGCCCCGGCUAACUUCGUGCCAGCAGCCGC